GAAAGUGAAGUCGCUCAGUCGUGUCCGACUCUUAGCGACCCCAUGGACUGCAGCCCAGCAGGCUCCUCCAUCCAUGGGAUUUUCCAGGCAAGAGUACUGGGGUGGGGUGCCAUUGCCUCUACUUCACAGAUAAACAUUUAAGUCCUAGCACUGAAGGUCUUCCAUAUGGUUCCCUUUCUUCCCUACCCCUCAGGUUUUCCUCUAUUCAUGAAGGGAAUUCCUCACACAUACCCCAUCUUUUCGGCUCUCUAUUUCCUUUGUUUGAAAUACCAUUGUCACAUUGUCCAGCCAACUCUACCUUUUCUUUCUAUGCUCCCAACAUGAAUGCUGCCAGAUGCACCAUACCCUACAACAGUCUCUCACUUGGACUGUGUUCACGCCUCAUACAUAUGUAUAAGAGAAACCAAAAUUUCAUGAAAUAUUUACUGUGUGUACAAUAUUUUCCAGUUUAUUCUGUUCUAAAAAACCACCUAGAAAAAGUACUCACAAAUACAGGAGUCUGGGUGAGUAAUAUAAGUGAUUAAAAGGGAGGGAUGAGAGACUUUCUUUGUGGUCCAGUGGUUAAUCAGCCUUCCAGUUCAGGGGACACAGUUUUGAUCCCUGGUCAGAGAACUAAGAGCCCACAUGCCUCGCGCCACAAGUACUGAACCCUCACUUAGCCUGUGUGCCGCAACGAAAGAUCCUGUGUGCUCCAACUAAGAACCAACACAGCCAAAUUUUUUUUUUUUUUUUUAAGGGGAGAAAUGGGACUUCCCUGGUGGUCCAGUGGUUAAGACUCCACCCUUCCAUUGCUGGGGGCACAGUUCAAUCCCCGCUCGGGGAUCAUCCUGCAUGCCUCAUAGUGCAGGGGAAAAAAAAACAAAAACGGGAGGGAUGGAAGAAGAGCAGCCCAAACAUGAUGGUUACUGGUGUGUGGCACUGGGCCUCAGUGUCUGGGGGACAAUAGGGAGUCUAGGAAACUUGGAACCAGAGAGCACAGGCCCUGUCUACAGGAACAGUUGCUAUUCAACUGAAACAAUUGCCAGUUUGAAUGCCCAGUGUUACCAUAUCUUUUGAAUUUAGAACAAGUGACAAAUUAAGACAUUUUUGUACAACCUCUCAACUUUUAAGUGUUGUCUGUUAACUCAUUUCAAAAAUUGUAGGCCUUCCCUGGUGGUCCAGUGGUUAAGAAUCCACUUUGCAAUGCAUGGGAAACCGCUUCGAUCCCUGGUCUGGGAAGACCCCACAUGCCAUGGAACAGCUAAGCCCAUGUGUCACAACCACUAAGCCUGAGCUCUAGAGCAGGGGAGGCACAAGUACUGAAGCCUAAGCACCUUGGAGCCCAUGUCCUGCAACGUGAGAAGCCGCUGCAAUGAGGAGUCGGAGAGCCCCCACUCAGCACAAAUUGAGAAAGCCAGAGCACAGCCGGAGCACAGCCACAAAGACCCAGUGCAGCCAACAACAAAAAAAAUUUUUUAAUGUGUCAGUAUAUGCCAAGGCAAUACAGCCACCAGAUGUGGACCUUGGCCUGCAAUUAGCAGCUUCUAAAUUAAGAAAACUAACUUCCCAGGGAAUUAAACUCAACUAAAUCUCAAAGAGAUUGUAUAUCACUACAUUUUGACCUGUAGUUCUUUAGAGCUUGAACCAAGGACAUAAAUGCGAAAGAUUCUUUGCCUUGGAAUUUUCCUGCCUUAAAAAAAAAAAAAAGAUUCCAGUUUCCAUCUUUUUGCCAGUUAUUUAGUUCCUUAUCAACUAUAUCCCCAAAUGGCCUGCCUGCCAUCACCAAGGCUAAAGUGAUACUUCCUUUGGACACUCUAGUUUUAGUGUCUUAGCCAAAAACAGGUUUGUUCACUUACCUCCUCUACUAGAGGUAAAUGAGGUCAAUAAACAGCAUAUCAUUUGCCCUCAGCAUCCAUCCAAUCACUCUUCUCCAAAGUUAAUUUCUGUGUGGCUGUCUUUGUUCCUGCCCAGUUGGAGCAGUGGGUCUGAAGAAUCAAAUUUUCUAUUUUCUUGGAUAACUUAAACUACAAAAUUUCUCACCCGGACAUGUGUGUGUGAGAAUGACUCACCCCUGAGAGUUAAUUGGGGCUAAUUAUGACCAGCCUGACUUGUCACAACAAAACAUCUGGCAUAACUUGCUUACUCUCAGACAGGGGAGCUGCCUCCACCCUCUGAGCACAUGCUUACUCCUGAAGCUCACCAUCUUGAAAACAAAGUGUAUGUCUUUCAACCUGUGAUUAUUCAAAAUAGGAGGGGACUCUGGAAUGCUUGAGUAGGAACUCAGCACACAAUUAAGCCCUGACAAGAGGAAAUCACACGUUGAGGAGAGCAAAAAACAUCCACCUUACCACAUGAUAAAUGGAGACUUCAGCAGUUAAGAAUGAUGAUUACCUUUUUUCCUUUUUUUUUUUUUUUUUCCUAUUUAUAUGCUAACCCUUUACCCAGUGCUCCCACUUGCCAGGGAGGCUGAGUUUCUCAGUUGUGUUUCAGUGAUACUGGUCCAGGCUGGUGUGUGUUCAGCAUUGCAGGAGAGAUUGGAAUAAAUGCUGGAACGCGCAGAAAUUCAACACCUCCCUUCCAGGGAUUCACUCCUCCUUCAACCUGCUUCACAUUUCCUGAAUGAAUACACACCGAACUGAGCACAGCACAUGUACAAUGCAAUUUGGCCAGGACUGUGACCUUUAAGAACAACUACUUGAGACAGGCUUUACAUACAGUAUAAGAUUUAAUCCCCACACGAUCUCCGUUUUAAGGACGAGAAAACGUUUUGAUAAUGUAAAGAGAUUUACUGCCAUUAAAUCAAGAUAAAACGGCUGGUGGCAGAACUGGGAUUCAAACCCACUGAUUGUCACAGCGGCCUCCAAUAAAUGACUACAAAUACCA